rnacentral:rRNA from 1 species
UACGUAGGGUGCGAGCGUUAAUCGGAAUUACUGGGCGUAAAGCGUGCGCAGGCGGGCUUUUAAGCCAGACGUGAAAUCCCCGGGCUUAACCUGGGAAUGGCGUUUGGGACUGGGAGUCUGGAGUACGGCAGAGGAGACUGGAAUUCCUGGUGUAGCAGUGAAAUGCGUAGAUAUCUGGAGGAACACCGGUGGCGAAGGCGGCAUCCUGGACCGACACUGACGCUGAGGAGCGAAAGCCAGGGGAGCAAACGGG